rnacentral:rRNA from 1 species
GUGGGGGGGGUGCUAUACAUGCAAGUCGAGCGGACAGAAGGGAGCUUGCUCCCGGAUGUUAGCGGCGGACGGGUGAGUAACACGUGGGUAACCUGCCUGUAAGACUGGGAUAACUCCGGGAAACCGGAGCUAAUACCGGAUAGUUCCUUGAACCGCAUGGUUCAAGGAUGAAAGACGGUUUCGGCUGUCACUUACAGAUGGACCCGCGGCGCAUUAGCUAGUUGGUGGGGUAAUGGCUCACCAAGGCGACGAUGCGUAGCCGACCUGAGAGGGUGAUCGGCCACACUGGGACUGAGACACGGCCCAGACUCCUACGGGAGGCAGCAGUAGGGAAUCUUCCGCAAUGGACGAAAGUCUGACGGAGCAACGCCGCGUGAGUGAUGAAGGUUUUCGGAUCGUAAAGCUCUGUUGUUAGGGAAGAACAAGUGCGAGAGUAACUGCUCGCACCUUGACGGUACCUAACCAGAAAGCCACGGCUAACUACGUGCCAGCAGCCGCGGUAAUACGUAGGUGGCAAGCGUUUUCCGGAUUAUUGGGCGUAAGGGCUCGCAGGCGGUUUCUUAAGUCUGAUGUGAAAGCCCCCGGCUCAACCGGGGAGGGUCAUUGGAAACUGGGAAACUUGAGUGCAGAAGAGGAGAGUGGAAUUCCACGUGUAGCGGUGAAAUGCGUAGAGAUGUGGAGGAACACCAGUGGCGAAGGCGACUCUCUGGUCUGUAACUGACGCUGAGGAGCGAAAGCGUGGGGAGCGAACAGGAUUAGAUACCCUGGUAGUCCACGCCGUAAACGAUGAGUGCUAAGUGUUAGGGGGUUUCCGCCCCUUAGUGCUGCAGCUAACGCAUUAAGCACUCCGCCUGGGGAGUACGGUCGCAAGACUGAAACUCAAAGGAAUUGACGGGGGCCCGCACAAGCGGUGGAGCAUGUGGUUUAAUUCGAAGCAACGCGAAGAACCUUACCAGGUCUUGACAUCCUCUGACAACCCUAGAGAUAGGGCUUUCCCUUCGGGGACAGAGUGACAGGUGGUGCAUGGUUGUCGUCAGCUCGUGUCGUGAGAUGUUGGGUUAAGUCCCGCAACGAGCGCAACCCUUGAUCUUAGUUGCCAGCAUUUAGUUGGGCACUCUAAGGUGACUGCCGGUGACAAACCGGAGGAAGGAGAGGAUGAUCUCGGCUCAUCACGCCCGCUG